GUGACAUAAUCAUUGGAUGUAGGUGUUGGAGUAAUUGAAAUCAGUCUAAAUAUUUACUCGGUUCGUUUGGCAAGAACUUUAGUUGCAGUUUUUUAUUAUUUUCUUCUCAGAAUUCAGAAAAACAUGUUGGCAUACCUUCUCCUAUCGCUGUCCAUCUCGACAGUUGCCAGCGAGAUGACAGGCUUCAUAGUGGGAGGGCAUGAAGCCAUCAUGAGGGAGUGGCCCUUCAUAGCCUACCUGCUGGCUCAUAGGGGGCGCGACUCGAUAGCGGCGUGCGGGGGGUCGCUUAUAAGCUCCCAGACCAUUUUGACAGCAGCGCAUUGCCUUGACGAUGUCACCAACAGAAAGAAGGAUGUCGAGAAAAUCAAAUACGUCAUCUACAUGGGCCACCGCCUCCACCGACGAGCGACCAUGCGUCGAGACAUGUUAGAUUACAUGACUCACGAAAACUACGAUCCUGACGACGUUUAUUUCGACAUAGGAAUUAUGUUCCUUGCUAAUCCAGUGCAGUUCUCUCACACUGUUAAGAAGGUGAUGCUGAUGACUGGGGAGAUGGGACGGCAUAUGGGGCAAGAAGGGGGGUUGGCGGUGGCUGGCUGGGGCAGAUUUGGGUGGGAUUCCCCUGGCAGUGAGUACCUGAAAAGCCUGGACCAGACGCUCCUCAGCCAAGACUUAUGCUACCAGUACAUAGACGAGCCUGAGAAUGCGCCGGGAAUCAUUUGCGGUGCCAAGAAUGCGGAGGUCAACUCAUCUGAGUACGCUUUUAGCGGUGACUCUGGUGGUCCGCUGGCGCGGCCACGAGACCAGCGGCUGGCGGGGCUGGUGUCCUGGCGGAUGGAGUCCCACGGGGUCACCGUGUACACUAGCGUACCCUUUUUUUACUCCUGGAUAGAGGACACGCAGUUAAAAUUGUUUAGGCGGUACUGUGGUAAGACCGGAUACGAGGGUUAAUUCAGCACUUUUGCCGGAUCUGGACACAUCACCUUUAUAUUAAUAGAAUAAGUACAUAUAUCGGUUACAUUGCCGAUUUAAGCACUCCAUAAUAUUAAUCAUUCCACAGUAAAAUUAGUUGCUUACAUUGAGUUAUUACCUACUAUAGAGAAGCUGAAAUUGUCGCAAUCGCAACCUAUACCAUGCGACUAAAAUGUCGUAAGCGCCAUGAAAUUCAUGGCGCUUACGCGUCUAGGUCGCGA